GACGAACGCUGGCGGCGUGCUUAACACAUGCAAGUCGAACGGAAAGGCCCUGCUUUUGUGGGGUGCUCGAGUGGCGAACGGGUGAGUAACACGUGAGUAACCUGCCCUUGAUUUUGGGAUAACUUCAGGAAACUGGGGCUAAUACCGGAUAGGAGCUCUUGCUGCAUGGUGGGGGUUGGAAUGUUUCGGUGGUUGGGGAUGGACUCGCGGCUUAUCAGUUUGUUGGUGGGGUAGCGGCUUACCAAGGCUUUGACGGGCAGCCGGCCUGAGGGGGUGACCGGCCACUUGGGGACUGGGGUACGGCCCGGACUCCUACGGGAGGCAGCGGUGGGGAAUUUUGCACAAGGGGCGGAAGCCGGAUGCACCAACGCCGGUUGCGGGAUAACGGCCUUCGGGUUUUAAACCGCUUUCGCCGGUGACGAAGCGUGAGUGACGGUAAUGAGUAAAGAAGCACCGGCUAACUACGUG
rnacentral:rRNA from 1 species